UGGACAGAUGUCUUCUGGAACCUGAGCAGCUGUCUGUGGCUGGGGCAGUGGGCUUGCUGGGGGACCACCACCUGCCGUGGAAGCUAAGGAAGGGGGUCCCAGGAGCAAGGUGCCAGGGCUGCAUGGACCUGUGUGCCCCUGGGUGCUCCAGGCUCAGUGCCAGCUCCUGCCACACGACGGCAGCGGCUUCUCUUCCCCAGUCACUCAGGAGCAGCCGUGAGAGCAGAGGAGCGAUCAGGGCAGGAUUGGCUGUGCAGAGCACCUGCUGCCUCCCCCAGAGCCUCCACCCCAGUUCCUCUCCCAGGCCUGGUGCCCCCACUCGGAGUGCAGAAACUAGCACUGGUGACAGGUUCCAGGUGCCAGCUACUGCCCUGGGCAAUUCCCACGUGGUGUCACAUGGCCCCCUGCACAAGCUUUCCAGCCAGGCAGUGACCACUGUUCUGCCAUUUCACCAAAAGCUGAGUUGACCUCAGGGCUGGGACAGGAAGGCAAACAGCCUGGAGAGUGUGCCCAGAGCUCAGCGGGAGGCCGAGGGCCCUGGCACACCACCUGCAGCCCUCAUGGGCCUCAGCAAGGUGGGCCCCAGCCAGGUUCUCUAGGCCUGGGCAGGGCUCCCCAUGCUGCUUCCCUGUGCCCAAGGACCCGGGGCCAUUUCAGCUGACUUUUGGUUUUUAUAGACUGAAUCCUCUUAACCACGUGGAGUUUAUCAUUUGUAAGCCAUAAUAGAUUAGCUUCUAAUUUUAUUUUUACAUUUUGAAUGGUUAGUCGAUCGGCUCAACAUCAUUUAUGAGUAAGUUAUUUCUUUGCCAACCUGAUUUGAAAUACCAGAACAGCCACAAUCUAAACUAUAACUACUGCAAACUCAACUCAGUUUUCAAAAUUUAUUUUUUGAUUGGUCUCCUUCUCUCUCGGUACCAGUACCAUAUUGUUUGGUCUCUUUAGUUAUUCUUGUUAUUUUAAUUUGUGUUUAUGUAACCACUUUUCCAAACGGACUUAUUUAUUUAAGAGGCAGAAUGAUGGGGUGAGGUGGGGUGGGUGAGAAAGAGAGAGGAAUCUCUUCCGUCUGCUACUUCACAGCAGCCUGGGCUGGCCAGGCCAAAGCCAGGAGCCGGAACCCCAGCCUGGCUUCCCUCACGGGUGGCAGGAGUCCGAGCACCCGAGCCACCCUCUGCUGCUUUCCCGGGCGCAUGAGCAGGGAGCUGGAUCAGCAGCAGAGUGGCACAGCCGGGACUUGAACUGGUGCUCAUACAUAGGACGCAUUUACAUAUGCCAUGAAGUGUCCCCUUCCCAAAUCCAUGCACCCCCUGGAACAACUCCAGGGGUUCCAACAGAAAUGCCUCUUCCCAGGGCAUGCCUCUGUCACUUCCCAGGCCCAAGCAACCAGAUGCCAUGGAGUUCUUCUGCCUGUCCUGGGAUAAAUGGAGUCGCAAGCGCAAGGGCCAGUCUGGGACCAAGGCCUUGAACAGGACGAAGCAGAUGUCCCCAGAGCCAACUUCUAAUACUCACAUCUGAGUGGUUUGUUCUAUGCCAGGAGCCACGCUCAUCAUUAUUCUCUGCUGAUUUCCUCCUAAUAAUCUUAUCAGGAGAAGAUAAGAAAAGGAGGUGUACUGAGGCUAAGAGUGUAACUGGGCGGUGGACAGCUUGCUGCACACGGCAGGACAGGAAUUCCACUUCUGGGGUUCAGACUCUGAAGCUCAACAAUGUGAUUACUCUGCCCAUUGUCCAAAAGCAGGACAUGAAAAGACAUCAGGGACACUUGAUGAGCCAUGUUUAGUCUACUAGCAAAUACAUUCCAUUUAAUGGAUGUAGGAAGAGAUGUAUUUCUUGCAUCAAAGCCACAGUUCCACAGGUAUUUCUGCUCAGGAAAAGAGCAGUUUUUUUUUUUUUUUUUUCAAGGAAAAGAUGAGCCCAUUUAAGUAAAUGUGUUAUGGUUUGUCUUCAGCUGGACUGGGGCAGAGAACAUUGACAACCUAGGCCAUGAAUGCUGCUGUUCUGGUGCCACUGGGUCCCAUGCUCACCCCAUGGCCGCGGCAUCUGCAGGUGUGCUGAGUGGAACUGAUUCCAAACAGGCAAUCAGGCGUCAUACCUUGCUUCCUCCAGUCCCCUACAUGCUCAACUUUGCCCUUAAGUAGAAACGCAGGUGCAAAGCCAGCCCUGGGGCCUUUCUGGGGUGUGAUGCUCUCCUUCACAUGCAAGCCAAGCUCUGGGUGCCUUCUGGAUUGUAGCCUCCUCACGGCUUCCAUGACAGUCAGGGGCCCAAGGCUCCCACAGCAAUCCCUCGGCCAUCGCAGGCCCACACAGCCCCGGAGAAAAUACUCCUGGUUCCCUGCGUAGCUGGAACUCGCCAGGACUGGGAGGCAGAGGCUGGAACUCCCGCGUGGGUUUGGCAGGACCCCUGCCACCAGGGGCCCCAGCUGUCCAUGAGGUACCAGCCUUCCACAGCCCUCCUGAGGCCUCCCUGGCCCCUCUCACCUUAGGACAGGGGACAGAGUCAUCAGGAUUGUAGAAUGGUGGUGCCACAUGCAGCACCAGGCCCCACACCAGGGAGACGCUUCAAACGUGUCCUCACACGCAUUCCUGCAAUGCUCGGCCAGAGGUCCAGAUCUUCCCCAGCUCGUCAGCUCAGUGCCUUGCCCUACAUCCUCUGACUCCGGAGCCUGGGUUUGCAGGGCACAGCCCAGAUGCAGAGGGCCGUGAGCCCUUCCUGUGCCCACCUCUUCCCUGGGGAACAGGGACCACCUGGCCUGUCCCAGCCAGAGCAGGCAAUGACAGUGCUACCUACUGUCCCAGCUCUCCAGGAACACAUGGGGCCCACAUGGCUGGGUGCACUUGUACUUCUGAGAACGCCGAGGGGAGCGAAGGCUGGAGUCGGAGGAGGUCAUGUGCAGAGCGCUCUCUGCACCUCCAGGGAACGGAUCAGAGGGACAGAUCCCCAAGCAAUGGCAUUCGGGAAGCGGGGCACGGAGAAGGCGAGGGCACAGACGUCCUCACAGGCACAGCCACGGCCGUGCGCCUCAUGAGCACAGAGAUUCAGACUCGACACCUGCAGCCCCGCAGCAGGCAGAUCCCGGUUCACGUGCAAGUUGGUUUCCCAUGGGGAAGUGGGAGACCUACACCCUCCACAUCUGUGCCUCUGGUGGGCAGGGGCUGUGUUUGUUCACCAAAAGUGCCCAGCGUUUGCCACGGCUGCCUGGCUGGAGCACAGCCCGGUGCCUCUGGGCACGAACCGCACGCUGGGUCCAUCAGAGGCAGGAUCUUCCUCUCGCCUGCUCCCAGCAUCCCCCUCCCUCCCAGAGAGCACUCCUGCGUGUCCCUAUGCUAGCCUCUCUCCCAGCAGGGCCAUGCUAAAGCUCCUGGGGACCCGUGGCAUCGGGCACGUUGCCCAGCACCUCUCCCGCCUGUCUCUGCUUCCUGCCAGCACCAAGGACAUGUUUCCUUCUCCCUGCCGGCCACUCAGCCAGCGGAGCUGCCUGCCAGCCCUCAGGAAAGGAAGAAGGAGGAUUGCAGGAGAGUGCCCCUACCUCGGCGGUGCCUGGAGCGGCCCCUCUCCUCUCUCUCUGUCUCUCCCACUCGCUGCCAUCCAGAAUGGCCCCGGCUCCGACAGGACCCACUGGAGGGCGAUUUCUGCAAAUUAAUAGCAGCUGGAAAAAAAGUGAAUCAAUCAGCCAAUGAAAACCAUUACUGGGCUUCGUCCUCAAGGUCAUCGGCACCAUGUGGAGUUGAGGGACAUGAGGGAACGCACAGGGUUUCAGAGGAGCUGGGGCGUGAACACACAGCUCGCAAGGAGCCCUCUCAAUCAGCUCCCCUUGGGCCCUCAGCCAGAAGACACCAAGCCACGCAGCUCCUUGGAAGCAGGGCAGGUGGGCCCAGGUGACCUGGCCACUCCUGGGACUGACCCUGGGGACAGCCACUUAGAGAGCUGCACGACCUCUGGGGAGUCUAUGGACUCUGUCUGGGAGAGGCCAAAGGGAGUGGGGCGCAGGUCACCCUGGCGGGGGACCAGGGACAGGGAGGGCGAGGCCUGGAUUCCAGAGCACCCUCUGAGACCCACCAAGCACUGGGACAAUGAUGAGGCCACUGCUGCUGCUGCUGCUGCUGGGGUGGCCGUGUGGCAGAGCAGCUAAGAUGCUGUGUCCCAUAUGGGACAGGGUGCCGGGCUCCAAGUCCCCAUUCCAGCUUCCUGCCAAUGCAGAGCCAGAGACAGCUCAAAGAGCUGGGCCCCUGCCAGCCACAUGGAAGCCAGGCUUUAGUUCCCAGCCCCUGGCUUCAGCCCAGUGUGGUGGAGGGCAUUUGAGGAGUGCAAGGGAGGCCUCGCUGCCUCUGACUCUCAGACCACAUACUUACGAGUCCUCACUCUAGGCCAGCGCUGUUCUCAAACCUUUGUAAGCCUCACUCGGGGCUGCACGGAAAGCACUAUUACCCCACCACAAUCCAGCUUCUGUGGGAGGAAGGGAGCUUGUGCAGAGACGAGGAACUGCCUGAGGGCCAGGGCCAGGCAUCCUCGAAGCUGGCCGAGCGAUGCAGACCCACGCCAGCCUCCGGCCUGUGUGCCGGAAGGAAAACGCGGAGCGCAGCCACGUGCCCGGAGAGGGGGGAGGAAGCGUCGCGGGCGGGCCUUGGCUGCACACACUCAUGCACACGCAGCCGUCCCCGUGCGGCUGCCCGGGAAGGGCCAGGUGCUGCUCCCAGCGCGAGAGCGAGGAGUCGCAUGGACGUCAGACGCGGAGCCUACAGGCAGGCAAGCAGACCCAGACUACCUAGCAAAGUGUGCUUCCAGUCAAGAACCAGGAGAGAUGUAGAAGAGGAAAACGGGUCUCCAGCCGCUGGCUGCUCUGUGAGCACGGCCCGUGCACAGGUGCAGGAGACAGGAGAUCUUCCAUGCUUUCUGCUCUGUUGAUGGCGGAGGCAAAACCUCCGUAAAUUUCCCAUCUGCCCACAGCCAUAGCUUUUCAGACUCCAUCUCUGCGGGGCUGCUCUAGAGCAAGCGCGGAGAAGGGAGAGCGAGGGCUUUGGGCUCAGGCCUCUCUGCUGGUCCACUGUGCCUUCCUGCAACGCGCUCACUGCAGCCCGCGGUCUCAUCAUCGAAGCGGAUUCCGGGCUAUCGCCACGGCAUCCGCCCAGCUGGGAGCAGCGCCCUUCUCUGCUGCUGCCCUCGCGGUCUCCUCCUCCCUCGGGAACGGUGGACAUCCCGCCCCUCCCAGCGCUCCCACUGGUGGCCGCGUGGGCAGGGCUCUGGUCGUUCGGUGGCUGGCUCCUUGGGAAGCCCCGUAGACUCUCGAGCGCGCCCCACAGGGUAAUCAGACAAGUGGAACAGCCUAGCUGUUAAGACAGCAGCGGGGACACCUGUGUCCUGUACUGCAGAACCGCGGUUUGAUUCCUGAUCCAGCUUCCUGCUAACGCAGGCCCUGGGAGGCAGCAGGUGAUGGCUUACACAGUUGGGUCCCCCUCACCCCAGCAGGAAGCCUGGACUGAGUUCCUGCCUUUAGUCCCUGGCCUGAGACUGCUGCAGGUACUUGGGGCAUGAACAACUGAAUGGGAGCAUUCUCCCUCUCCCUCACUCCCCUCUCCCAGAUAAAUAAAUAAAUAAAUAAAUAAAUAGAAUUUUUCAAAUGCGGGGCUGCCAUUGU